rnacentral:rRNA from 1 species
GUAGUUAGCCGGGGCUUCCUCCUUGGGUACCGUCACUUCCUUCUUCCCCAAGGACAGAGGUUUACAAUCCGAAAACCUUCUUCCCUCACGCGGCGUUGCUGGGUCAGGCUUUCGCCCAUUGCCCAAUAUUCCCCACUGCUGCCUCCCGUAGGAGUCUGGGCCGUGUCUCAGUCCCAGUGUGGCCGAUCACCCUCUCAGGUCGGCUACCGAUCGCUGACUUGGUGGGCCGUUACCCCGCCAACUAUCUAAUCGGACGCGAACUCACCCCAAACCGGAUCGCUCCUUUUACCCCGUCGCCAUGCGGCGUCGUGGUCUUAUGCGGUAUUAGCAGAUGUUUCCAUCUGUUAUCCCCCUGUUCGGGACAGAUUGUUCACGCGUUACUCACCCGUCCGCCGCUCGAACAUAAACCGAAGCCUAUGUCCUCGCUCGACUUGCAUGUGUUAGGCACGCCGCCAGCGUUCGUCCUGAGCCAGAAUCAAACUCUGA